rnacentral:rRNA from 1 species
AUACGUAGGUCCCGAACGUUGCGCGAAAUUACUGGGCGUAAAGGGUCCGUAGGCGGUCUGGUAAGUGGAAGGUGAAAGCCUGGGGCUCAACUCCAGAAUUGCCUUCCAAACUGCCGGACUUGAGGCAGGGAGAGGUCGGCGGAAUUCCCGGUGUAGCGGCGAAAUGCGUAGAUAUCGGGAGGAACACCAGUGGCGAAGGCGGCCGACUGGAACUGUCCUGACGCUGAGGGACGAAAGCCAGGGGAGCGAACCGGAUUAGAAACCCUAGUAGUCC